rnacentral:rRNA from 1 species
GACGAACGCUGGCGGCAUGCCUAAUACAUGCAAGUAGAACGCACAGUUUAUACCGUAGCUUGCUACACCAUAGACUGUGAGUUGCGAACGGGUGAGUAACGCGUAGGUAACCUGCCUGGUAGCGGGGGAUAACUAUUGGAAACGAUAGCUAAUACCGCAUAAUAUUGAUUAUUGCAUGAUAAUUGAUUGAAAGAUGCUAUUGCAUCACUACCAGAUGGACCUGCGUUGUAUUAGCUAGUAGGUGAGGUAACGGCUCACCUAGGCGACGAUACAUAGCCGACCUGAGAGGGUGAUAGGCCACACUGGGACUGAGACAGGGCCCAGACUCCUACGGGAGGCAGCAGUAGGGAACCUUCGGCAAUGGACGAAAGUCUGACCGAGCAACGCCGCGUGAGUGAAGAAGGUUUUCGGAUCGUAAAGCUCUGUUGUAAGAGAAGAACGGGUGUGAGAGUGGAAAGUUCACACUGUGACGGUAUCUUACCAGAAAGGGACGGCUAACUACGUG